AUACUUACCUGGCAGGGGAGAUGCUAUGAUCAACAGGGUGGUUUCCCAGGGCGAGGCUCAUCCACUGCACUCCGGAUGUGCUGACCCCGGCGAUUUCCCCACAUGUGGGAGACUCGCCUGCAUGAUCUGUGGCAGUGGGAGACUGUGUUCAUGCUCUCCCC